ensembl:lncRNA
GGUGAGACUGGGUGUGACAGGGUGAGACUGGGUGAGACAGGGUGAUACUGGGUGAGACAGGGUGAGACUGGAUGAGACUGGGUGUGACAGGGCUAGACAGGGCAUGACAGGGCGAGACAGGGUGAGAAGGUGUGACAGGGUGAGACUAGGUGAGAAGGUGUGACGGGGUGAGACUAGGUGUGACAGGGUGAGACUGGGUGUGACAGGGUGAGACUGGGUGUGACAGGGUGAGACAGGGUGAGACUGGGUGUGACAGGGCUAGACAGGGCAUGACAGGGCGAGACAGGGUGAGACUAGGUGUGACAGGGUGAGACAGGGUGUGACAGGGUGAGACUGGGUGUGACAGGGUGAGACUGAGUGUGACAGGGUGAGACUGGGUGUGACAGGGUGAGACUGGGUGUGACAGGGUGAGACUAGGUGUGACAGGGUGAGACUGGGUGAGAUCGGGUGAGACAGGGUGAGACGGUGUGACAGGGUGAGACUGGGUUAGACAGGGUGAGACAGGGUGAGACUGGGUGUGACAGGGUGAGACUAGGUGUGACAGGGUGAGACUGGGUGAGACAGGGUGAGACGGUGUGACAGGGUGAGACUGGGUGAGACAGGGUGAGACUGGGUGUGACAGGGUGAGACAGGGUGAGACUGGAUGAGACUGGGUGUGACAGGGCUAGACGGCAUGACAGGGCGAGACAGGGUGAGAAGGUGUGACAGGGUGAGACUAGGUGAGAAGGUGUGACGGGGUGAGACUAGGUGUGACAGGGUGAGACUGGGUGUGACAG